CGGAGCUGGGCUGGGGCGCGCGGCCGCGGGCUGCGCUCCCGGGAACCGGAGGGCGUGGGGCGGUCCGCCCGCAGUGUGCGCCCCACAGCCGGCUCUCAGAGCUGGACUGGCAACGCAUUGCGGGGCCCCGCCGGGCGGAGAGGAGGGUUCGUGAAUCUUGCCGCCACGCUGGCUAGGAAUGCCCCCUAGAAGGCCCUGCCAGGAACCGAGGGGUGGCAGGGACACUCCCCGGGCCCAGGCCCUUCCCCCAUUCUGCUGCUCUGGGUCCCACCCCGGGCCCCACCUCCUUCCUGAUCCUGUCCCGGGGCCACUCCCUUAACCCGGCGCAGCCUGGGGCCCUUCCCCCAUGCACCCUGGGGUCCCCUGCCUAGCAGUCUGUGCUAGCGUACCCUGGCAGCGUCUCCUACGCACGACUCCUAUGUCCACUCAGUACUUGGAAAAGUCUGUGGGCGCGUGUGUUUGAAGCGAGUCAGGCCUGGCCGAGGAGACUCGGGGUGCUGAGGGACCCCAGUGGGACUCUUGCAACGAGGCCUUGUGUGUCGCCCUGACCACACGGGCGAUUUAGCACUGGGCUACCCAGGUGUGCUCGACGCCUCCUGGGCCACAACGGGGCUCGCGCCAGAGUGAGGACCUCACAGAACGCAGGGGUGGCCAGCACUAGCGUUGGGGAGGAUAAUUCCAUUCAGAGCCCUAGGACCAGUCUCUUAGGUCUCCCCCGACUAGACGCCGCAACGCGCCUCGCCUAGUGUACAUUACGAAGAGCCGCCUCCCGAGAGCAAGAGCCGGGCUCCAAGGCGCGCGCAGCCGAGCCUGCGGGGGUAGGCUGGCCAGGAGUGGGAGGUGGCGGCGCCCGGCGGACGCCUGACCGCCACCUCAGACCUCCUCCGGCUUCCGCAAGCACUUGCACUUUGGAUCCGGAUUCGGAACCGUAACUGACUGUCCCCAAGGGUCGGCUGUGUUGUAAUGACCAACAACAUCUGCGACCCGGGCCCCUAAGCCUGGCGGCAUCGCCUUGAUUGGUGGCACCAGGAGGGCAUUGAGGCCCUGGCCACCGGUCUCCUGAGCCCUUGCCCCUCUCAGCUUGGGAAUGGAGGUUUUCCCCCGCUGGGACCUGCUUCAGGGCUGCUACCACAGACGCCGCCACCGAGGACAGUCGAGGCCGCCCCUGGCACCGCUCUACCUCACCUUAAGGCGACCAUGGCCCUAGUUCCAGAGCAGAUGAGAAAGCCUGGGCGGAGACCUGCUGAUGGGCACCCCGCCUCCCCCAAGCGUCUGUUAUCCUCACGCCUUCUCUCCAGAGCUGGGUGGAGACAUGGCAUUUGAUACUGCCCAAAGGAUCAUGACAUUGCAAAGACUCCCUGAAGAGUUUACCCAACUUGGCCUGCCAAUCACUUGGCCAAGGUUUCACUUGCUCCUUGAACCAAAGCUGGCCUAGAACUCAAGACAUCCACUGCCUCUGCUUCCUGAGUACUGUGAUUGAAGUUGUCCACCACUCACACCCAGCCUCCUCUUUUAAUUAAAAAUUUUUAAAAUCUG